AUUAUUGUUUGUGACGUGAAUCGGUGCCAUGGUAUCAAAAACGUUCGCAAUUCACGCAGUUUCUUGAACUAUUGAAAAAAGAAGUACUAUGGCAGGGUCAACUUUACCCGAAAGGGUUGCACAGAUAUAUUACACUUAUGGUUUGUUUUGUUCUUCUUAUCCUGUCACCGCAAUCGCAUUAGCCCUUUCUGUGGUUUUACUCUGCUGUUAUCCGCUUCUAAAUGUUCCUCUGCCUGGAAAUAUCCCAACUGUAGUGAAUGUUCCACUAGACAUCAACAGAGCACAGUUUUUCAGUAACAGUGAAUGCAGUGUAAACAAAUGUCAACAAACAGAUACACCUAUAACUCUUGACUUGAACUACAAUGAGACCCAAAAAUUACCCCAUAUUUGGGCAAAGGACAAACCAUUGCUUUAUAUCCAACAAAUUAUCAUGAAAAUAGGAGUAUCACCAUGGACCAAUAAUUUGAAAAUCUGGGAUGCAUUCAGAGCACCAUUACAAGAAGCAUUUCGGUUGUUAGAAACUGUAAGAAACCAUGAGGAUCCUGAAACGAAGACAACUCUUCUGCACCACUGCUACCAAAUCGAGGGCAUCAAGCGACGGGACUGUAAAGCAAGCAAGGAGCGCGUUUUGCCGGAGUACAGCUGUUUGCUGCUGUCCCCUGCUAACUUAUGGCAACAGAACCUUCAGACUUUCUCCCUGGACUCCAAUAUUAUUAACACUAUUUACAACUAUCAGAACCUGCAGAAGGGCAAAGUGUCUAUUGCGGAAAUGGCAUUCGGCAUGCAGCUGCGCGACACUGGCGUAAAACGCUACCCAUUGCGUUCGCGUCCGCGCGUUCUUCAGUAUGCACUCACUAUCUUCUAUAGACAUGCUGACCAACGAUAUUUCCAGUCGCUCCAAAAGAAGUUAAAAGAAUUGUAUCCACUUUACCAAAACAAACCCUAUUCGCACGUCGAUGAUAUCACUUUGAUAUACUAUCCAGGUCAAUUUAAUUAUCAUGAACUCAUUCACUUGACUAUAACAUUCAUCAGUCUUUUUAUGUACGUCUACUUUUCUGUAAGAAAAAUAGAGUUCAUUAAGUCGAAAUUCGGCUUGGCUGCAUGCGCUGUUCUCACAAUAGCCGGCAGCUUAUCAAUGUCUAUGGGUGUUUGUUUUUACUUUGGCUUUUCAUUAAGUCUUCAAGGAAAAGAAAUUUUUCCAUAUCUGGUAAUUAUAGUCGGACUGGAAAACGUCCUGGUGCUGACAAAAAGUGUGACUUCGACUGACUCACGGCUCGAUGUCAAGAUUCGCCUGGCACAAGGUCUCAGCAAAGAAGGUUGGUCUAUCACCAAGAACCUACUCACAGAAAUUACUAUAUUCACCGUCAGUUUCUUCACUUUCGUUCCGUUUAUACAAGAGUUUUCAAUAUUUAUGAUAAUAAGUUUGGUAUCGGAUUAUUUCAUGCAAAUGGUUUUCUUUGCUACGAUACUCGGAAUUGAUGUUCGACGAAUGGAACUAUUCCAAGAAAAGAAUAGCAAGUUGCACCUCAAGGAGUAUUUUAAUGGAAACAACGCUUUGAAUUGGCGCUAUGAUAGAACUUACAUAGAAGAAAGCAGUAUUUCACCGAAAAAGAUGACGAAGUCUAAGUCACAUCCCCGGUUAAACGGUUUGGCACAGUGUAGCCCCACUGAUGUCUUAGCCAAGAGAAAUGGUAGUACUAGCGGCCAGGACAACAGAGUACCCAAGAGAAUCCGACUCGUCAACUUGUGGGCAAGAACACGCUUUUUCCAACGCGCUUUCAUGGUCUGGAUGCUGGUGUGGAUAUCUAUGAUUGUUUACAAUUCGGGAGUAGUAGACUACUUCAUCACAAAUAUAGAAAAGGUUGAUGGCAAUAUGGAAACAACGAAAAGGUACAGUGACAAGAGCGGCCAGGCGCAAUCGAUGUACACAUUUUAUAAUAGCAGUGAAAAUUCGCUCAUCUUCCCGCCUCUUAUGGAUCUGACUGAGCCGGAAAGUUCCGUAGUUGAGGCCAAUGAUACUAUCAUGUUGAAGCACUUGCCCCAUUCCCGCCCGUGGUCCAGGUUAUCUCCAUAUCAGUGGUCUGCGGUGUUGUCGCAGUACAACGAAUCUGUAGCGGGGCGCUACGUCGUGUUGCUGCCUCCGACGCUUCUCAGCCACCGCGUGGCACCAGAGUUUGCCAUUGGGGUGCGGAACCCUGACGAACGCGAGCCGCUGCUUCGAUGGCAGGCUUUAGCUGCUGCGCUGGAUCCCAUCGAGUCUCUGCCAGAUUUCGAGCUGGAUGGCAAGAGCCCGUUGCACAGAGCAGGAAAAACGGCAGACCUGCCUAUUUAUCCUACUACCCCCAUGGAGAUAUUGCUCCUGGCCAUCCUGUGCUGCAUCAGUGUCGCUGUCAUAGCCUACAUGAUGGUCGUUCUAUACAGAUGUGUAUGUUCCCGUCAUUACGCCGAGUGGCGGGCAUCAUGGAACGAAGAUGAGGAGUACAGGAAAAUUAUUGCGAAACAGCCUGCAGUUCAGUUGGUGAUGGAAGCAGUGCCGAUGGUGGUGGCCGGACACACCCAGGAGGUGGAGUGCUUGGUGACUGACGGCGAGAAGGUCGUGAGCUCCUGUCUACAAGGGAAUAUCAAGGUCUGGGACUCUCAAAAUGGAGAGAUCAUCACAAACAUUGACCGUAGCGCAUUUUUUCAACUGCAGAAGGAACUAUACGAGAAAGUGAACGCUAAGAGAAAUAUACCAUUGGAAGUAUGCCAAACUCCCGUUGAUGCCGUAGAUAAACCGAACGAGGUAGUGCAUCGACUCCGUAAAGGCUUGAGUAACCACUUGAGUGGCCUGCGCUUCAGGGCCAAUCUACGGGAUUUGCCGCCACAUCUCCCUGCAGCAGAAAUGACUAAAUAUGAUUUUGCCAAAAAUUACAGAGAUUUGUACUGUAGUGAUGAACCAGACGACUUUUACGAAGUAAAAGAAAACGUGGACUUAAGUAACAUUAAACCAAACAGACAAGAGGCAAACCCUAUUAGCCGCAAGAGUACUGGUGAAAGUGAUAAAAACGUUUUCGUAUUCAAUUCGAGCUCAGUGGACUCAGUGACUAGUUCGUAUGUUAGAAAUAAGAGUAAAUUAAGCAACUGUAGUAUUACGAGCAGGACUGAGGGCAGUGAUAUGAACAAUGCGAUUAGUUUUAUUUGGAAGGGAAAGGCUAUUAGUGAAUCUCCUGUUUGGUGCAUGGACUUCUGUAAUGAUCUUAUUAUACUAGGCUGUUCAGACGGGCGGCUGGAGUUCUGGGAAGCUAGUUCCGGAAAACUAAUGUGCGUAUGGUGGAACAUGGAGAGCCGCGGAAAGGAGGCAGCGGGUGUAACGCACGCGCGGGCGCUGUCAGGCGCUCGCCGCGUCUGCGCAGCCUCGUUGGCCGGACACCUCACGCUGCUGCGUCUCGACGCUUACAACGUCGCCUCGGGCGCGCAAGUCGACUGGCGAUUCAGCACCGCUCAUAGACGAACACACAAACGUACGGGUUCCACUGGUUCACUCCGCACCGUGCAUGGAUUUGGGGAGGAGAACUGCCGAAGCAGUAUGAGCUAUUACGAUGCGGAGCACAAUGUUGGAGAAGAAGUGAUGUGUGCUCGCAUCGCGCAUUGCCGCCCUCACCAGCAACCGAUCACGGAGAUGCACUGCGAGGGCGGUCGCAUUCUCACCGGUGGACAAGAUCACGUGCUUAAAGUUUUCUCAAGUGCAGAGCUAACGCCCCUGUUCACGCUGCAUGGGCACUGCGGGCCAAUCACGAGCUGUUUCAUCGAUCACGCGACGCCCACUAUCGCCGGCAGCGGGUCCCAGGACGGCCUACUUUGCGUCUGGGACUUGCAUACUGGUGCGUGUUUGUAUAGCAUGCAAGCGCACGACGGCGCUGUGACGUCAUUAGCGUACACGGCUUCGUACGUUGUCUCAGCUGGAGCGGACGAGAGACUCUGCAUCUGGGACCGGUUCCAAGGCCACAUGCUCAACUCCAUCCACAUAGGCUUAAAUUAUAUGAGCCGAAUGCUACCACUAACGCACACACUGCUGGUGAUGGGUGACCGCAGCGGGCUCACGGUGUAUGACCUUAGCAGCGGGGACAUUCUCCGACGGGUACUACUAGGACAAUCAGAUGGUUGCAUAUUUGUUAGACAAAUACUGCCACUGAAAGACGCUAUAGUGUGCGAUUAUGCGAACCAACUGCGAAUAGUGCGCUUUCCGCUCGUCUCCCGGCUCUGUGAUAUGAUGAAGAGUGAAUAGAUGGACGAUGGACCUAACGCACCGCAUUCGGAAGGCGUCACACACCAUCAGGAAAAUGCGUUACGCAUACUCCGCCGCGGACGAUGACAUGGCGGGGUUAUGUGGGACUCUUCUCCGGCGAUACAAGCUCGCCCGAUGGAUCCUCGCAGGCCUACCCACUAAAAACCUGUGUAUACACCCUCACUCACCGGUACCGGCUUGUGGAAGCCCGUUAAGACUCUCCACUCACCCCGGUAUGAAUGGGAUGACCUGCUAAUGACCCUUAAGUGAUUGUGUAGCGCCUGCAUUAAAGCGCAUUAAGUAUUUAAAAAAAAUAAAUGUUAUCUCCGCAACGCUAAUCUCUUGAGCGAACGCGUACAACAUUUAAAAUCUGUAUGUAUACAUUAGGCUUAUGGGCAGGGCGCCGGUGGCACGACGACGACGACGGUGCAAAAUAGCUAGUAGCAAGCGUAAAAUUUAACACGCAACGUUAAGAAAGUUAAAGAAUUUGUGUCUUUUUGGACUGAAAAAUUAAUGAAAUCGGCUCUCAGGUCGACCCGAAGUUGACAUUGACACUUUGGUUUCUUAAAUUAUUUUUGUACAUUGUUAUGACAUUAGUUAAAUAAAAG